UUGGGGGAAAAAUGUCCCUUUAAUACUACGUGAAGUACAAACACAAAUAUACCACACUAACAAACCAGAUAAACUGUUUUAUUUAAAUAGAAUACAAUAGUUGAGGAUCCAAAGUAUGCAUAACCACCUCUGACUAAACAAGAUGUGUUUUUGUUUUCCAUGUAACAUUUAAAUGUGUUCUGCUUCAGUGAAAACAUUUGAAAUAAUCAUCAUCCCCUAUAGACUACUUGUGCAAACAUUACAAGCUGGCACUUCACAUGUGCUGCUCAUGUGUGUGCUAAAUCAGGAGAGUUUGCGCUGCUGGAAUUGAAAUCGCAUGUUUGUACAUCUGUGCAGUGGAAAUUAGAGAAAGACGGCUUUUAUAUAAAUGCUGCAAUAGUCAGUCAGAAUUAAAGUCACUUUAGUUAAUGCCUUGUUGUGAGGAAGGACUCUGUUAAAAGCUCAUUCGGGUGGAGUUGUCAAAGAAUGUGGUAAGCCUAUAAGAGGCCAUUAAGUAAACUCAGCAGUCAGCUGUUUGGAGUGUGGUGGUGGUUUGUUGUGUGGGCCUUUAUCGCCAUCUGCUGGCGAAUACUGGGCACAGCAGUUUAAUAGAACCCUUCUGUAAAUCUCCCAAAUGUGUUAAUAAAACAGUUUUAUGAACUCAAGACCAUAAAACCAUAAGAUCUGUGUAUAACUGGACUUUAAUGGCAUGCUUUAAACUCUAUAUAAAUGUACACUUGUGGGUAAUAUGAUCCCUCUGCUUUGUUGAGGUCACAUGCCUCCAACUUCUGCACGUGUGGGAUAGUUGCCAAGUACCACCAAGAGUCACUCCCACCCUGACCCAACAAUUCUGCUUACACAGCAAAUUUUCAAGUCAGCAUGCUUAAAUAUAGACAUUCACAGUCAUAUUUUUAUGUUUAAACUUUAACAAGAACACACACACACUCCAAAAGUGACUCCGCCAUCUUUAUUCAACUCUCAGUUUCUAUGUUUGACAGCCUUAACACAAUACAACUCUCUGUAAAAGCAUCAGGUUUUCAGGGUGACUGUUAUCUUCCCGCAGAAACCAUCAUUAAUUACAGAGUGUAUUCCAACAGUCGUUACUGCUUCACAAUCGUUUUCCCUCUUCCCUUUUCCAAACUGUAGAGUCAUGUAUUUUUUUUUUUUUCUUUAAGCAAGCCGUGUAUAAAUUUGUGCGAUUUUGCAACCUACAUAGAAAAUCUAGAAAAUGUUAAGAAAACAUACACAGGAAAUACCGUGUACUUAGCAUUUAAAAUGCUACUCCUGAUAGGUGUUUUAGCUUGCAGACUUUCAAAGUGCUGCGUGAAACUCUGGAGAAACAUAGAGGAUCGUUGAGUCUCAUUCCCAGAGUUACAUACAGCACUUUUAAGGACAAACAUAAAAAAAGACAUUCAUGUUAGUUACUGCUGUUAUAUGUGCCCAAGAACAAUCAAUCAAUAGCUUGUGUUACAGACAAAAACAUCACUGGUAUAAACUUUUUAAAGUCUGCUUUGAAAUGUUUUUUAGACUUAUUUUUUUCUCAGUAACAAGUCAAUGCUUUCAGGUUUUCCCAGUAAAACCGUCUUCAAGGAUUUCUGAUAAUAAUCAAAUGUAAUUUUUCCCAUAUUUGAAGAUCGUAUCUUUUUCUGUUCCCUCAAAUAUCCUUAAAUCCUGAACUUGUUUAAAGUGUUUAUCAUGUUCCUGAACUACCCUCUCCUCUGUCUCCUGCCGGAUUUCAUACAGACGCCACUAGAGCGUAGUUUCUGCGCCUGGAUUCAUUAAGGAUGGAGAUAGCAAAAUGGAGGAGGUCAUUUAUGAACAUGACAACCACAUACACUCCUGAGCAAGGGUGAGAGCAACCCACUGACAGACACGCAGAGACAGGUGAAACAUGGUGUAUGUUCUUCAAGGCACAAAUUAUUUGCAUAUCUUUUGCCAAAUGUAAUGAGUUAACAAGCUGCCAGUGCAUGCUUUGCUUGAUGUGUUUAUUGUGUCUUCAUCAGUGUGAUGUUGGACUCAUGUUCAUCUAUCCUACAUGCAUGCUGUCAGGAGUUGCUCUGCCCUCUCCCAGGGUAAUACUAGUUGGUAAAAA